GAGGUGUUCAGAUGACUGUCCAUUGGAUGCUUGAUGUGAUUAUUGAGUGUCAACUUGAUUGAAUUGAAGGAUGAAAAGUAUUGUUUCUGGGUGUGUCUGUGAGGGUGUUGCCAGAGGAGAUAAACACUGGGGUCAGUGGACUGGGAGAGGCGGACCCAUCCUCAAUCUGCGUGGGCACCAUCCAAUGGGCUGCCAGCGCAGCUUAAAAAAUGUAGGUGGAAGAAAGUGGAAGAAGCUGGCUUGCUGAGUCUUCUGGCUUUCAUCUUUCCUCCCACGUGGGAUGCUUCCUGCCCUUGAACAUCAGACUCCAGGUUCUUCAGCUUUUGCACUCUUGGACUUACACCAGUGGCUUGCUGGGGGCUCUUGGGCCUUUGGCCACAGACUGAAGGCUGCACUGUUGGCUUCCCUGCUUUUGAGGUUUUGGGACCUGGACUGAUCCACCACUGGCUUCCUUGCUCCUCUGCCUGCAGACGGCCUAUCGUGGGACUUCGCCUUGUGAUCCUGACGGGAGGCCAAGGGGCUGGGAUGGCAGGUGCCGUGAACAGCGAGCGCCCAGAGUUGGCCAAAAGCACAGCGGAGGUGCAAAUCCAGCUGUGACCUGCAUUGUCUCCACUAACGACAGCGUCCUUAACCCGGACAGUGACCCAGCAAGUGGCAGCCCACGCUCGCCGGCCGGGUCCAAGUUUUAAGUAAAGAAGCCAUUUGUUCCCAGGCUCAUUUUUAUCAAGGCUCGUCUGUCUUUCCAAAUUAGGGCUGAGUCAUUUAUAAAGCAUGUGAGUGUUUGGAUGUUAGCAGCAAACAUUCAUCCAUUUUAGAAUAAAUGAUUAAAAGGCACUCAUUAAAUUCCUCUGUUGACUGAUGCCAAGGCCCCGAGAACGGAUUGGCCUGUUGGCUUCUGGCUGGCCUGACUGCCAUCCCACCUACUGAGAACUCUCGUAGACUCUGGAGAGAAAAUUCCUGCUCGAGGGGACACCCUGAUGGAAGAUAACAGGAAGGAUGGCACUCAGGCCUGUUCCCCCAAUAUUACAGCACAGUUAUCUACCUUCAGAGUGGCCGCACCCAACAGACUCUUGGUGAGUGGGAGGACAACCCCUUCUCCCCUCCAAAGAUCUAGGGACAAUGUGUGCCAUUCCUUCCCAUGGGCAUGGGGAAUGUUUAACUCAAAAGUCAAGGGAAUAAUUCCAUAAUGACUGAAAACUAAGUAUUUCCAGUCCUGAUAAGAAUGGCGCUCUGUGCCCACUCCAGGAAUACAAGAAUUGGCAAGACUCUCCUGUGGCCCCUGCCCUGGAAGGUAGAAGGUAAAAGAUCAUACACAGACAGGUAAACCAACUCCCGAACAGAACUGGGAGCCUCGGACCACAGGCUCUGACCCUUUGCUGGCCAGCAGGUGCAGAGGGAAGGAGCUUCUGCUGUCCUUGCCCCCAGCAAAUGUCCAUCCUCACCACAAGGGAACAAACCAUGCCCAAUGCCUCGUUGGGGGCACUGGCGCCCCUUGAAUGUAUCCUCUCUAGGAUCCUUGGCCCCACCCACCUGUUUGCCAUCUCCAAAGGUCCUUUCUUAAUGUCUUUAAUUUGGAUGGCUCUGACAGCUCCCCACGGCUGGCCUGAGAAAAUCGCACACUCCUCUGCAUGCCAUUUAUCAGGUCACAGCGUGAGUUUCCCGGGCCCUCCUUCCACUAAAAAAACAUUAAAACAUAUAUAUUACAAUGGCAUUGGUAAACAGGAACCUAUUGAUUUAUAUACUGAAAACAUUUUUCCUCAACCUAAAAGUUCAUGUAUUUCGUUUUGAUUUUAAAAGCAAUUAAAACAUUUCGUGAGUCCUGAAAUCACUGUGGGCCCGAGGCACUGAGCCACCAUACCCGAUACUGAAGGGGGUCUAGGUCAGUCCUCUCUGCAGCCGUCCAGCCGCAGGUUCCCCCUGGGAGCUGCCCUUCCAGGCCUCCCUGCCUGUGCUGCUGCUGCUGCUGCUGCUGCUGCUCCUGCUCCUGCUCCUGCUCCUGCUCCUGCACCCUCAAUGCUGCCUCAUCCUUCUCUGCCACGAAACGUCCUACAAAGGUGUUAAGCCCUGGACCUAGUGUGAUGCUCCCAGGCCCUGGAGGCAGCAUCUGUGCAUCUUCUUUGCCCUCUGCCACCACUCUGACCCCCUGCAAGCCCAGACAGACAACGGUGUCUUCCUGACCAGGUGACAGGAUCCUGCAUUCAUCCCACAAACGCCUCCUGGGCACUGCCUGUGGGGAUGCAGGAAGGAUCUAAUAAAUGGCCUGGCCGAUGCUUUGUAUGUUCUGGAGACUCUGAAGUAUUUUGUGUGUGCUGUUUCGGUUCAUCCCACACUGUAAAACCCCGAGGAGGUCCUUCUGAUCGGACAUGAGUCACCACCAGGUACCUCAGUGGGUAAUGACAUCGCUGAGAUGCCCACACAGGCAUUCUAGGUCCAGG
rnacentral:lncRNA from 1 species